AAUAUUAACAAACAGCCUACUCUAAAAUACUAAUGUCCUGUUAUAAUUUGAGAAACUACUCGCACUGCCUUCUAAUAAUCAAUAUACCAAGUGAUGUAAUUAUAUUAUGUUGCCGUAUUUCUGAGACCAAACCAAAAGGCAUUCUAGUGAACUCGCAGAGACCGAAUGGGGUUGUGAUAGCAGUCUUAAGAAUAUCUUCUUCUGCUACAGGAAUUUGGUGCGGAUAUCCGGAACAGUUAUUAAAUUUAACUGGCGAUAAUCACCGCAAGGACGCCAAUCUUCACAGUCUUUUUGGAGAGGCAGCAGAAGAAGAUGAAG